AUACGGAGGGUGCAAGCGUUACUCGGAAUCACUGGGCGUAAAGCGCGCGCAGGCGGCUAUUUAAGUCGGAUGUGAAAGCCUACGGCUCAACCGUAGAACUGCAUCCAAAACUAUUUAGCUAGAGUGUGGGAGAGGAAGAUGGAAUUAGUUGUGUAGGGGUAAAAUCCGUAGAGAUAACUAGGAAUACCAAAAGCGAAGGCAAUCUUCUGGAACACUACUGACGCUGAGGCGCGAAAGCGUGGGGAGCAAACAGGAUUAGAAACCCUAGUAGUCC
rnacentral:rRNA from 1 species